rnacentral:rRNA from 1 species
CAGCAGCCGCGGGAAUACAGAGGUCUCAAGCGUUGUUCGGAAUCACUGGGCGUAAAGGGUGCGUAGGUGGCGUGGUAAGUCAGAUGUGAAAGCCCGGGGCUCAACCUCGGAAUUGCAUCCGAUACUACCAUGCUAGAGUACUGAAGAGGUGACUAGAAUUCUCGGUGUAGCAGUGAAAUGCGUAGAUAUCGAGAGGAAUACCAAAGGCGAAGGCAGGUCACUGGGCAGUUACUGACACUGAGGCACGAAGGCUAGGGGAGCAAACGGGAUUAGAUACCCGAGUAGUCCCUGUCUCUUAUAC